rnacentral:lncRNA from 1 species
UUCUCGACAUUGGCAACCGCCAUUUUAUCCAUCCAGGACCGACGAAAGUUAGCAAUCUUUCGAUAGCCGACCUCCAGAUCAUGCAUAUCGUGCGCCCACUGAAAGCCGAAGAUAAAUCAAGUUAGAUCAGAUCAGAUAAAAAAAAAUUUACCUCGAGUAUCAUUGGGUAGACAGAAGAAAAUAUUUCGACGACCGCCCUAUUCUUCCUAUUCUUCUGAUCAAUCGGGAGAAGAGUAGCUUCGAUGAGCUAUCUGGCCAAUGCCAGAUUGGCCAGAGCUGACUCACCCUCGG